AGCAGCCGCGGUAAUUCCAGCUCCAAUAGCGUAUAUUAAAGUUGUUGCAGUUAAAAAGCUCGUAGUUGAAUUUCGAGACCGGUCUACUGGUCGUGCUUUUGUACGUACUGGUAUAAUCGGUUUCUCUCUUCUGACGAACUAUAAUGCCAUUAAUUUGGUGUUUUAGGGAAUCAGGACUGUUACUUUGAAAAAAUUAGAGUGUUUAAAGCAGGCUCACGCUUGAAUACAUUAGCAUGGAAUAACGAAAUAGGACGUUUGAUUCUAUUUUGUUGGUUUCUAGGAUCGACGUAAUGAUUAAUAGGGAUAGUUGGGGGCAUUAGUAUUCAAUUGUCAGAGGUGAAAUUCUUGGAUUUAUUGAAGACUAACUACUGCGAAAGCAUUUGCCAAGGAUGUUUUCAUUAAUCAAGAACGAAAGUUAGGGGAUCGAAGACGAUCAGAUACCGUCGUAGUCUUAACCAUAAACUAUGCCGACUAGGGAUCGGAUGAUGUUAAUUUUUUAAUGACUCAUUCGGCGCCUUACG
rnacentral:rRNA from 1 species